rnacentral:rRNA from 1 species
GUGGGGAAUCUUAGACAAUGGGCGCAAGCCUGAUCUAGCCAUGCCGCGUGAGUGAUGAAGGCCCUAGGGUUGUAAAGCUCUUUCAGCUGGGAAGAUAAUGACGGUACCAGCAGAAGAAGCCCCGGCUAACUCCGUGCCAGCAGCCGCGGUAAUACGGAGGGGGCUAGCGUUGUUCGGAAUUACUGGGCGUAAAGCGCGCGUAGGCGGACUGAAAAGUUGGGGGUGAAAUCACGGGGAUCAACCUCUGAACUGCCUUCAAAACUAUCAGUCUGGAGUUCGAGAGAGGUGAGUGGAAUUCCGAGUGUAGAGGUGAAAUUCGUAGAUAUUCGGAGGAACACCAGUGGCGAAGGCGGCUCACUGGCUCGAUACUGACGCUGAGGUGCGAAAGCGUGGGGAGCAAACAGGAUUAGAAACCCGUGUAGUCC